rnacentral:rRNA from 1 species
CAAUAGCGUAUAUUAAAGUUGUUGCAGUUAAAAAGCUCGUAGUUGGAUUUCUGGAUCGAACGCCUCGUCCGCCGCUGUGCGGUGUGUACUGGGGUUUUGUUUCGAUUCAUCCUUGCAGGGAAGCGAGUUCGAGAUUAAUUUGUCGGCUCGGGGAACUGCAUCUUUUACUGUGAAAAAAUUAGAGUGUUUAAAGCAGGCAUUUUGCUGUGAAUACAUUAGCAUGGAAUAAUAACAUAGGACUUUGGUUCUAUUUUGUUGGUUGGAGGCCAAGGUAAUGAUUAAUAGGGACAGUUGGGGGUAUUCAUAUUUAAUUGUCAGAGGUGAAAUUCUUGGAUUUAUGAGAGAUGAACUCAUGCGAAAGCAUUUACCAAGGAUGUUUUCAUUAA